rnacentral:lncRNA from 1 species
CGAUUACUGGAAUCCCAGCACAGGUUCUCAAGAGCAUCAUGCGCCACUUUGGGUUUCUCGUCCUUCUUGGGCUUUUCAUCGGCACACAAGCAGUCGACCUUACGGACCUUCUUGAAGCAUUGAACACAACUGAGAAGACAUGGCUGACGAAGCGAACGUACCAAAUGGGAGAUCAUACCUGCGUCUACGCCCUAAAAGACUCCCUCACUGAAACGGAUUACACAUUUAAACAAUACUUCAAGAGCGGUGGUCAA